AAAAAAGUAUGCAAGAACUGCUAAUUCAUUGCUACCGCACCUAACAGUGCGGCUUUUUUA
rnacentral:tRNA from 1 species